CUGCGGAGGGAUCAUUACCGAGUUUACAACUCCCAACCCAAUGUGAACGUUACCAAACUGUUGCCUCGGCGGGAUCUCUGCCCCGGGUGCGUCGCAGCCCCGGACCAAGGCGCCCGCCGGAGGACCAACCAAAACUCUUAUUGUAUACCCCCUCGCGGGUUUUUUUAUAAUCUGAGCCUUCUCGGCGCCUCUCGUAGGCGUUUCGAAAAUGAAUCAAAACUUUCAACAACGGAUCUCUUGGUUCUGGCAUCGAUGAAGAACGCAGCGAAAUGCGAUAAGUAAUGUGAAUUGCAGAAUUCAGUGAAUCAUCGAAUCUUUGAACGCACAUUGCGCCCGCCAGUAUUCUGGCGGGCAUGCCUGUCCGAGCGUCAUUUCAACCCUCGAACCCCUCCGGGGGGUCGGCGUUGGGGAUCGGCCCUCCCUUAGCGGGUGGCCGUCUCCGAAAUACAGUGGCGGUCUCGCCGCAGCCUCUCCUGCGCAGUAGUUUGCACACUCGCAUCGGGAGCGCGGCGCGUCCACAGCCGUUAAACACCCAACUUCUGAAAUGUUGACCUCGGAUCAGGUAGGAAUACCCGCUGAACUUAAGCAUAUCAAUAAGCGGAAGA
rnacentral:rRNA from 1 species